UGGGGAAUAUUGCGCAAUGGGGGAAACCCUGACGCAGCAACGCCGCGUGAAGGAAGAAGGUCUUCGGAUUGUAAACUUUUGUCUUAUGGGAAGAUACAAGACGGUACCAUAGGAGGAAGCCACGGCUAACUACGUGCCAGCAGCCGCGGUAAUACGUAGGUGGCAAGCGUUGUCCGGAAUUACUGGGUGUAAAGGGCGUGUAGGCGGGACUUUAAGUCAGAUGUGAAAUACCCGAGCUUAACUCGGGAACUGCAUUUGAAACUGAGGUUCUUGAGUGAUGGAGAGGAAAGCGGAAUUCCUAGUGUAGCGGUGAAAUGCGUAGAUAUUAGGAGGAACACCAGUGGCGAAGGCGGCUUUCUGGACAUUAACUGACGCUGAGGCGCGAAAGCGUGGGGAGCAAACAGG
rnacentral:rRNA from 2 species